AGGACACCCACCCCAGUGACCUGCAGGUUCCCAGACAGCCUCCCCGCGGGAACCUCCCCGGGCGCCUGCCCCCUCCAGGGUUGCCCUUGGGCCCCAGGCCAGGUGGGCCUGGCGAGACCCGCCGAGGGCAGGAGCCCUCCCAGGCCAAGAUGUGUCCAGUGCAGUGAGCCAAGCACAGACGCCGCUGGGGCCCUUGCCGAGGGGCUGAGAGGAAGCAGCUCCCUGCUCUGUCUCCUGCAGAAUCCACCCUCGAUUAACCCUUAUCUCCCCAGCAGGCCCUAUCUCUGCCUUGGCGCCGAGCGUCCAGACACACCAUGCAGGAUGAUUGAUUUCUGAGAGAUACGCCCGCCUUUCCGAUACUUCGUUUAUUGUCUAAAUAUUUUUGCUAACGUUUCGGCGGCCCCUUAUCGUACUGUGCUGAUGGGUCCCAGCUCUCUCCCCCGGGCCUCCCUAGGAAGACAUUGCCUCUGCCCCAGAUUGUCCUAUCAGCCGCCGGGCACUUGUCUUCUCUCUCUGGAGAGGGAGGAGGAGCGGGCACGGAGGGGAUAGGACGACCCUCUCCCCCUGGACUCAGGCUGGAGUUAGGGCUGCUCACAGCAGGCAGGAGUUGGGGGAGGCUCCCCUCGCAGUGCCUGGCACCCAACAUUCCCAUCCUGGCACCCAGGAAGGAGACAGUGCCUUGAGGGGGACGGGGGGGUCUACCUUGCUGUCCCUUCCUUGAGCCAGCUGAGGUUUCUACCACUGCAAAACCAGGCACUGGAGAAGAGGACCCAGGGGCCCAGCCAGCUCCAGACUUCAUGUUCACAUAUAGAAGGAACACUUGUGAUGGAUGGAUGGGGAUGGAUGGAUGGAUGGAUGGAUGGUGGGUGGGUAGAUGGCGGAU
rnacentral:lncRNA from 1 species